GACGCUGGCGGCGGCUUACACAUGCAAGUCGAACGCGUGUAGCAAUACACGAGUGGCGCACGGGUGAGUAACGCGUGGAUAUCUGCCUUUUGGUUCGGAAUAACUCCGGGAAACUGGAGCUAAUACCGGAUGGUUCCUACGGGAUAAAGAUUUAUCGCCAAAAGAUGAGUCCGCGUACGAUUAGCUAGUUGGUGAGGUAAUGGCUCACCAAGGCGACGAUCGUUAGCUGGUCUGAGAGGACGAUCAGCCACACUGGGACUGAGACACGGCCCAGACUCCUACGGGAGGCAGCAGUGGGGAAUAUUGGACAAUGGGGGCAACCCUGAUGCAGCGACGCCGCGUGAGUGACGAAGGCCUUCGGGUUGUAAAGCUCUGUUCUCAGGGAAAAAGCAAGUGAUUGUACCUGAGGAGAAAGGACCGGCUAACUUCGUGCCAGCAGCCGCGGUAAGACGAGGGGUCCAAGCGUUGUUCGGAAUCAUUGGGCGUAAAGCGGGUGUAGGUGGCUCUAUAAGUCAGGAGUGAAAGCCCCGAGCUUAACUCGGGAAGUGCUUUUGAUACUGUAGAGCUUGAGUGUGGGAGAGGAUCGUGGAAUUCCAGGUGUAGUGGUGAAAUACGUAGAUAUCUGGAGGAACACCGGUGGCGAAGGCGGCAAUCUGGCCCAACACUGACACUGAGACCCGAAAGCAUGGGGAUCAAACAGGAUUAGAUACCCUGGUAGUCCAUGCCAUAAACGAUGAUCACUUGGUGUUGGAGGUAUUGACCCCUUCAGUGCCGAAGCUAACGCGUUAAGUGAUCCGCCUGGGGAGUACNGUUGCAAGAUUAAAACUCAAAGAAAUUGACNGGGGCCCNCCCAAGCCGUGGANCAUGUGGUUUAAUUCNAUGCAACNCGAAAAACCUUACCUANAUUUGACAUGGUUUGGAANGGUGGCA
rnacentral:rRNA from 1 species